GGGUCCGUAGCUCUAACGUCAGAGCACCCGGCCUUUAACCGGGGGGUUCCGGGUUCGAGUCCCGGCGGACCCACCA
rnacentral:tRNA from 1 species